CUACGGGCUGCACCAGUGAGGAAUUUUGCGCAAUGGGGGAAACCCUGACGCAGCAACGCCGCGUGAGCGAAGAAGGCCCUCGGGUCGUAAAGCUCUGUCAAGUGGGAAAAAAGCCUUUUGAUCAAUACCCAAAAGGUUUGAUGGUACCACUGGAGGAAGCACCGGCUAAAUCCGUGCCAGCAGCCGCGGUAAUACGGAGGGUGCAAGCGUUGUUCGGAAUUACUGGGCGUAAAGGGCGUGCAGGCGGUUUGGCAAGUCAGAUGUGAAAGCCCUGGGCUUAACCCGGGAAGUGCAUUUGAACUGCCUUUCUUGAGUAUGGGAGAGGAGAGUGGAAUUCCCAGUGUAGAGGUGAAAUUCGUAGAUAUUGGGAGGAACACCCGUGGCGAAGGCGACUCUCUGGACCAAUACUGACGCUGAGACGCGAAAGCGUGGGGAGCAAACAGGAUUAGAUACCCCGGUAGUC
rnacentral:rRNA from 1 species